UCAAACUGGAGAUGGCGACCGGCGCACGGGUGAGUAACACGUAUCCAACCUGCCUCAUACUCGGGGAUAGCCUUUCGAAAGAAAGAUUAAUAUCCGAUGGUAUAUUAAAACCGCAUGGUUUUACUAUUAAAGAAUUUCGGUUAUCGAUGGGGAUGCGUUCCAUUAGUUUGUUGGCGGGGUAACGGCCCACCAAGACUACGAUGGAUAGGGGUUCUGAGAGGAAGGUCCCCCACAUUGGAACUGAGACACGGUCCAA
rnacentral:rRNA from 1 species